UCUUAUGCAUGAACAAAAAAAGUGGUUUCUUGAGAUGAAAUCCACCCCUGGUGAAGAUGCUGUGAA
rnacentral:pre_miRNA from 1 species